rnacentral:lncRNA from 1 species
AAAAGAUGGUGUUCAUUCGGUGGAAUUUUUAUCGGGAUGAUCUCAUUGUUGGUAUUAUGAUCACCAACUGUGUGUCACUAGGCUCCCAUUCGUUUCCCAAAUUAGGAAAAUAGAAUUGGAUGAACACUCAUCCAACAGUGACGGCUCCUAGAUUGAGGAAUGUAGGAAACAACGGCAUGCAUUUGUUCAUUAUUGUCCGAGUAGAUAAUGAUUGUAAUGUCCGUCGAAGAUUCGGGACAGCAAUAUCAAUAUGAGGUGUUUCUGCGAUUGAAGAAGACAAGUCAAAAGAAGCUCUUCCUGCUAGAAAUUUC